AUUUUCGCCUCCUGGCUGGGGAAAAAUUACAUUUGAGGUGUCUGGUAUUCUCUGAAUUUUUUCUAUUUGCUUCAGAUGAGGCCCCAAUACUUGAAUGCCUGAAGCCUGUGGGAGUUUUUCUAGCAGCUUAAAUAGACACAGGACUAGAUUCCAAGGGACUAAAGGCUUUAGUGAGAUGCAGCUGUUACAGGCACUGAACAGAACUUGGCAGGGAGAGGGGCAAAGUGGCUGAAAGUCACCUUUGUGUCCUACUGAUCCUCAGCACCUUCAAGGGCUGAAGAGGCCCGACAGGCCCUGUGGACUUAUCUAAGUUACGGCAGCCUCCUGAGGCUGCCUCAUGAACCACCACUGCCCGGAAUCUCUGCCAUGCAGUAUGUUGUGGCCCCAUCCCUGAAAUGCCCUUCACUCCCCAAGGCUCACCUGGGGCAUAUAUCAUAUUUUGCAGGGUCCAGAGGAGGCAGCCUUACAUUUGUCUUCUUCAGUACACUGAAUCCUCCACCAACCACACAUGGGGCUUUCAGAGCUCCUUUCCCUGACUUUCUCUCUCUCAUUAUCUAUAUUAUAAUCCAUUUCUCUGAGCCAUUAAGUCCUUCAUUUUAACUUGUAUUGAAUUUAAUAAAUAAAAUUUGCACUAUGAUUUUUUAACUGUUAUAUAUUCCAAGACAUUUGCAGCUACCGUUAUAUGGUAACUGUAACACCAGAUUGCUCUCUUUAAAGACUUAAAGAUGGAAAGAAAAAUCCUCAGUACUCCUUGGGGAAAGUAUCUACAUACAAUGUUUUCUAAACAGGUGUUUUCUUCUAAAUGUGCGAACUUCUAUGCUAAGAUUUUCCCCCACUCCUCAGACUGUUUCAGGAAAUACAUUUUUAUGGUACCAGGAUCAGCACGCCAAGGGAAGAGACAUACAGAAAUGGUGCUUGCAGCAUCUAAAAAAGAGAGCACAGUAAGAAGUCACUGAAGUCACCGGAAGUGCGCACACUAAACCAAAGCAGAUUUGGUUCAGAAUAAGCAAUAUGCAUAGGAUCAUAUUCUAGAUGAAUCUGCAGUGCUCCCACUGACUUUAUAGGGAACUGUAUGCCUGCGUCCAAAACUCGACUCUCCGAGGGUUAACAGAAUCUCCUUGUUUGCUCAGUUAUCUCUCUCCAGUAUAAACUCAGGAAUAUACUUUGAGUAACCUUGUACACACUACAUUUCUUGGAGCUUGUCUUCACUGAAGAGUUUGUCUUCACUCCAAUUUAAUUUAAAUAUUAAAAUAAAAAGUUAAACUAAAAGCUUUUCCUUGUGAAUCUUAUGCCAGGUUUAAUAUUGGUUACAUAGGUUUCACAAUCCAUAAGGUAAAGAUCUAAUGUUUGUAGUCUUAACCAAAUAUGUAGGAAGUAAUCCUUACUCACAUGUUGCUUCCAACCCAGCACCCGACCAAACACAAAAUUGCUUCAGUCACAUUUGCUGGUGCUUACUAUUUAGGUCUACUGGCUUGUUUGGGGCUGCAGACUAAUCCCAGACAUGGUAAGUGCCCACUUUCCAGUGAGGACAUAGGUUAAACCACUGUAGUGGUAACAGUCCUACAGUGCCUUCCCACAAUUAUCCCCACAUGUCUGUCCUUCUGGACAAGUUUUCUCACAAUUCACCAGGAAAAAAAUCCUAGAGCAGAUCAUCUUACUACAGAACAAAAAAUCUGCCCUCAAGUGGCCUAGGUAUACAUACAUAUACCAUUCACUGGAAUAAAUUGCCCAGGGAGGUUGUGGAAUCCCCAGCUCUGGAGAUAUUUAAGAGUAGGUUAGAUAAAUGUCUAUCAGGGAUGAUCUAGACAGUAUUUGGUCCUGCCAUGAGGGCAGGGGACUGGACUUGAUGACCUCUCGAGGUCCCUUCCAGUCCUACUAUUCUAUGAUAUUAGCAUAGCACCUGCGAGGAUAGUAGUAACUCAAAUAUGGCUUUGUUGUGUGGCUGCUCAUACCUGACCUAGAUAAACCUUAUAUAAUUCUGCAAUGAAAAUUUACCUAAUGACGCAAUUAUGGAACAACUGUAGCUAGACCAUGAAGGGAUUUCUGUCCCACUGUGGUUUCCUUUUUUAAAUAUGUUUUUUAAUUAAAUGGGUUUAACAUUAGUAGCUGAAUGAGAAUUAGCUAUAUAUCCACCCACUCUCAUUUCUUUCCCCCCAUUCAGUCGUCAGAGAGCUGUCAAACUGGUUGAAGGCCAGGAAAAGAAUAUGGAUGCUCUCCCAGUCCUACUCUCCAAAAUAAAGACUGUCUCACUAGAAAAUUGUUAUACACUUUUCUACACCAGCAUUAUAAAAGGUGGAAGCUUUACCAACACCACAGAACAGGCAUUUUUACCUCUGCAUCAGUUAACACUGUUUCAAUGUCACAGUGUUAAAAAGGUCUGCAACCUGCUUUCACUAUAGCUGACUGAUGGCACCGGUGCUGAAAACUGGAUAUAAAAGUUCCGAAUGCAGAUGAAUGCGAAGGAGGAAGUGCCCUGUUGGAGUAAAAGGAUAUGCUAGAACCAGCACUUUCACCAUCCCACCUGGUGAAUCCCUAGCUAUUCCCAUGGAGGCGGAGUUGGAAGGUGACUCCUGACUAUACUACUGCAGACCUCAGAACUGCUGCCCCUACUGCGGCAUCCCCUCUAGCCAGCUGCGUGAUCGCAUAAUGCUCUGCAAAUGAGUGCACCGACAACCACGUAGCUGUCCUACAGAUUUCUACUAUUAGCGCACGUGCCAGGAACGCUGCCAAGGCCGCCUGUGCUCUUGUGGAGUGAGCAGUUAAUGGUGGCGCUGGUUUGCCCGCACCCUCGUAGAACUCCUGGAUACAAGAUGUGAUCCACGAGGAGAUGUACUGCGCGGAGACUGGCAAUCCCUUCAUUCUUUCUGCUAUCGAAAUAAACAGCUGUGGUAACUUACGGAAUUCCCCCGUCCUGUCUAUGUAAAAGGCCAAUGUCCUCCUGACAUCCAAGCAGUGCAGGGUCUGUUCCUUGGGCAUGGAGUAUGGUUUGGGAUAAAAGACCAGUAGGUAAAUGUCUUAAGAGAGAUGGAAAUGCGAGACCACUUUGGGAAGGAACCCCGGGUGAGGACUCAUUCUCACCUUAUCUUUAAAGAAGACCAUGGAAGGGGGCUCUGAAGUCAACUCUCUAAGUUCGGACACCUUCCUCAAUGAGGUAAUAGUGUUGCAAAGAGGUCUAGAUGGGGAUACCCCAAUCUCUGGAAGACCCCCUGCAGUAUGUCUUGUCUUAUAGUCCACUCGUGUUCCUGAAUGGAGCAACUGAGCCUGUCUGCCAACCCAUUCCUGGACCCCGGCAGGUACGACACCUCCAGGUGAAUACUGAGAGAGAGAGAUAUCUCCUACAGCUCUAGGGCUUCCUGGCACAGGGAAGAGGAACGCGCCCCCCAUUGCUUGUUGAUAUAAUACAUGGAAGUUGUGUUGUCUGUCAGUACCGCAACCACCUUGUCUUCCAGCUGGGGGAGGAACGCCUUGCAUGCCUGCUUGACUGCCCUGAGUUCCUUGACAUUUAUAUGAAGGGGCAUUUCCCCUGGUAAUCACGUACCUUGAGUCCUGAGGCCUCCCAGGUGCGCCCCCCAUCCCGUGUCUGACGCAUCUGUGACCAGCACACUGAUGGGGACUGCCUGACAAAUGGAACUCCCGCACACAUUGUGCUCUCGUCCUUCCACCGGUCUAGAGAGCAGAGUAUUCUUUCUGGUAUGGUGACCACCACAUCCAGAGGCAACCGCAUAGGGUUGUGCACUGCCUUGAGCCACCCCGUAGCGGUCACAUGUGUAACCUGGCAUACCGAACCACAUAAGUGCACACUACCAUAUGGUCAAGGAGCCUCAUACAGGUUCUUGUUGUAGUGGUGGGAAAUCUCUGCAGGUCUGUUAUCAAUGAGCAUAGUGUGAGAAACCUGUCUCUUGGCAGGGAGGCCCUCUCUGCUGAUGAGUUCAAGCAAGCUCCCGCAAACUCUAUUACUUGAAUGGGGCUUGGUGAGGAUUUGACAUUGUUUACAAGAAGGCCGAGGCUCCCAAAUAGUGCCUUUGACCUUCCGACUUGGUCUGCCACUUGUUCUCGAGAUGUGCCCCUUAUCAACCAGUUGUCUAGAUAUGGGAAUACUUGAGUUCUGUGGUGUCUCAUGAAUGGCACUACUACUGUUACGCACUUGGUGAACACCCUUGGGGCUAUACAUAAGCCAAAUAGGAGGACCGUAAACUGGAAGUGGUCCUGCCCAGCUACAAAUCUGAGGAAUUUACUGUGUACUGGGGACACCAAAAUGUGGAAGUAGGCAUUUUUCAGAUCAAGAGCAGAGUACCAGUCUCCCUUCUGGAGAAAUGGGAUGA